GGAUGAGCUCGCGGCCGCUUAUCAGCUUGUUGGUGAGGUAACGGCUCACACCAAGGCGUCGACGGGUCUAGCCGGCCUGAGAGGGUGCCGGCCACACUGGGACUGAGACACGGCCCAGACUCCCGGGAGGCAGCAGUGGGGAUAUUGCACAAUGGGCGCAAGCCUGAUGCAGCAACGCCGCGUGAGGGACGACGGCCUUCGGGUUGUAAACCUCUUUUAGCAGGGAAGAAGCGAAAUGACGGUACCUGCAGAAAAAGCACCGGCUAACUACGUGCAGCAGCCGCGGUAAUACGUAGGUGCAAGCGUUAUCCGGAAUUAUUGGGCGUAAAGAGCUCGUAGGCGGUUUGUCGCGUCUNCUGUGAAAACUGGAGGCUCAACCUCCAGCCUGCAGUGGGUACGGGCAGACUAGAGUGCGGUAGGGGAGAUUGGAAUUCCUGGUGUAGCGGUGGAAUGCGCAGAUAUCAGGAGGAACACCGAUGGCGAAAAGGGCAUGAUCUCUGGGCCGUAACUGACGCUGAGGAGCGAAAGGAGUGGGGAGCAAACAGGCUUAGGAUACCCUGGUAGGCCACCCCGUAAACGUUGGGAACUAGUUGUGGGGUCCAUUCCACGGAUUCCGUGACGCAGCUAACGCAUUAAGUUCCCCGCCUGGGGAGUACGCCGCAAGGCUAAAACUCAAAGGAAUUGACGGGGACCCGCACAAGCGGCGGAGCAUGCGGAUGUAAUUCGAUGCAACGCGAAGAACCUUACCAAGGCUUGACAUAUACGAGAACGGGCCAAUGAAAUGGUCAACUCUUUGGACACUCGUAAACAGGUGGUCAUGGUUGUCGUCAGCUCGUGUCGUGAGAUGUUGGGUUAAGAUCCCGCAACGAGCGCAACCCUCGUUCUAUGUUGCCAGCAGCGUAAUGGUGUCGGAACUCAUGGAAUACUGCCGGGGUCAACUCGGAGGAAGGUGGGGAUGACGUCAAAUCAUCAUGCCCCUUAUGCGGCUUGGGCUUCACGCAUGCUACAAUGGCCGGUACAAAGGGCUUGCAAUACCGUAAGUGGAGCGAAUCCCACAAAGGAGCCGGUCCCAGUUCGAUGAUUGAGGUCUGCAACUCGACCU
rnacentral:rRNA from 1 species